UUCCCCGGCUGGACUCUUGAAGCCAAUGGCUGAGGUGCUAGUGCCUCCAGGGAGAGUCUGCCGUGCGGACAGCUGCUGAGCUUCCUGCAGAAGAAUAUCAUCUCUGCUACCGUUGCCAUGGCGGCAAUCCUCCUGGUGACGGUGCUGGUGGUGUUCACACUGGUCAUGUGUAAAAGGCGGAGACAGACAAAGUAUCCUCCAGCGAACAUGACAUACAAUAUUUUUAUAAUGAAUGGGAAGUCUUUGUGGCAAAAUUCCCAAGAUAAGCACCUCAAAAAAUUCAUGGGAAAGCAGAAGCCCCUGAAGUACAAUUCCUUCGUCUGAGCCGGUGGAGGGGCCAGCAAACUGCCACCCAGCCACUGCCAGAGAGUUCUUUUGUGCUACCCGGAUAGAAGUCCAAG
ensembl:processed_transcript